ACUCAAUCGGAAAGAGGAGUGGCGGACGGGUGAGUAACACGUGGGUAACCUACCCAUCAGAGGGGGAUAACACUUGGAAACAGGUGCUAAUACCGCAUAACAGUUUAUGCCGCAUGGCAUAAGAGUGAAAGGCGCUUUCGGGUGUCGCUGAUGGAUGGACCCGCGGUGCAUUAGCUAGUUGGUGAGGUAACGGCUCACCAAGGCCACGAUGCAUAGCCGACCUGAGAGGGUGAUCGGCCACACUGGGACUGAGACACGGCCCAGACUCCUACGGGAGGCAGCAGUAGGGAAUCUUCGGCAAUGGACGAAAGUCUGACCGAGCAACGCCGCGUGAGUGAAGAAGGUUUUCGGAUCGUAAAACUCUGUUGUUAGAGAAGAACAAGGACGUUAGUAACUGAACGUCCCCUGACGGUAUCUAACCAGAAAGCCACGGCUAACUACGUGCCAGCAGCCGCGGUAAUACGUAGGUGGCAAGCGUUGUCCGGAUUUAUUGGGCGUAAAGCGAGCGCAGGCGGUUUCUUAAGUCUGAUGUGAAAGCCCCCGGCUCAACCGGGGAGGGUCAUUGGAAACUGGGAGACUUGAGUGCAGAAGAGGAGAGUGGAAUUCCAUGUGUAGCGGUGAAAUGCGUAGAUAUAUGGAGGAACACCAGUGGCGAAGGCGGCUCUCUGGUCUGUAACUGACGCUGAGGCUCGAAAGCGUGGGAGCAAACAGGAUUAGAUAC
rnacentral:rRNA from 1 species